rnacentral:rRNA from 1 species
CCAAUAGCGUAUAUUAAAGUUGUUGCAGUUAAAAAGCUCGUAGUUGAAUUUCGGGAUCAAUAUGUCGGUCGUGCCUUCGGUACGUACUGGUAUCAUUGGUUUCUCCUUUCUGACGAACCAUGAUGUCAUUAAUUUGGUGUUAUGGGGAGUUAGGACUGUUACUUUGAAAAAAUUAGAGUGUUUAAAGCAGGCUUUAGCUUGAAUACAUUAGCAUGGAAUAAUGAAAUAGGACGUUCGAACCUAUUUUGUUGGUUUCUAGGAUCAACGUAAUGAUUAAUAGGGAUAGUUGGGGGCAUUAGUAUUCAAUUGUCAGAGGUGAAAUUCUUUGAUUUAUUGAAGACUAACUACUGCGAAAGCAUUUGCCAAGGAUGUUUUCAUUAAUCAAGAACGAAAGUUAGGGGAUCGAAGACGAUCAGAUACCGUCGUAGUCUUAACCAUAAACUAUGCCGACUAGGGAUCGGAUGAUGUUAAUUUUUUAAUGACUCAUUCGGCGCCUUACG